UACCUUGUGGUUUCCGUCGCUGUUUGA
rnacentral:sRNA from 1 species